rnacentral:misc_RNA from 1 species
AAGUCGUAACAAGGUUUCCGUAGGUGAACCUGCGGAAGGAUCAUUAACACGUAUCCAACGUUAAAACCCCCCCGUGAACCUUCAGUGUGCUCAUCCCUGGUAAAUCAUCGCCGAACAGUUUUGAUUCAGGGACUUCUGCGAAGAGUGUGCUUGUAGCGCGAGGCAAGUGGCCUGGCAUCCUUGUCUGAAAGUGUCAAGGGUGGCGCAGUCACGAUCGCUAGAGGCCGACACGGCCGGCGACCGGGUCACCGGGCUCACGCCCCUUAAUAACCUUUGCAUGAAAACGGGCCUGCGCUUAAUUGUGCGGCCAUAAACCGAACAACUGUUAACAAUGGAUAUCUUGGUUCUC